rnacentral:rRNA from 1 species
AUUGAACGCUGGCGGCAUGCUUUACACAUGCAAGUCGAACGGUAACAGGCCUUCGGGUGCUGACGAGUGGCGAACGGGUGAGUAAUGCAUCGGAACGUACCCAGAGGUGGGGGAUAACGCAGCGAAAGCUGUGCUAAUACCGCAUGUGAUCUGAGGAUGAAAGCGGGGGACCGAGCAGCAAUGUUUGGCCUCGCGCCUUUGGAGCGGCCGAUGUCGGAUUAGCUAGUUGGUGGGGUAAAGGCCUACCAAGGCGACGAUCCGUAGCUGGUCUGAGAGGACGACCAGCCACACUGGGACUUGGACACGGCCCAGACCCCUAAGGGAGGGAGGAGUGGGGAAAUUUGGACAAUGGGCGCAAGCCUGAUCCAGGAAAGGCGGGUGGGGGAAAGAGGCCUUCGGGUUGUAAACCGCUUUUGGGAGGAACGAAACGGUGGCCGCUAAUACCGGGCGCUAAUGACGGUACCUGCAGAAUAAGCACCGGCUAACUACGUG